GUCUAGGGUCAUGCUACCCUGAAUAAGCCUGAUCCCGUCUAAUCUCAGAAGCUAAGUAGAGUCAGAUCUGGUUAGUACUUGGAUGGGAGACUACCUAGGAAGACCAGGUGCUGUAGGCA
rnacentral:rRNA from 1 species